rnacentral:rRNA from 1 species
UACGUAGGGGGCAAGCGUUGUCCGGAAUCACUGGGCGUAAAGAGCGUGUAGGCGGCUUGGUAAGUCCGCUGUGAAAGUCCAGGGCUCAACCCUGGAAAGCCGGUGGAAACUGUCAAGCUUGAGUCCGGAAGAGGCGAGUGGAAUUCCUGGUGUAGCGGUGAAAUGCGCAGAUAUCAGGAGGAACACCAAUGGCGAAGGCAGCUCGCUGGGACGGUACUGACGCUGAGACGCGAAAGCGUGGGGAGCGAACAGG